rnacentral:rRNA from 1 species
GACGAACGCUGGCGGCGUGCCUAAUACAUGCAAGUAGAACGCAGUUGCGAACGGGUGAGUAACGCGUAGGUAACUGCCUCAUAGCGGGGGAUAACUAUUGGAAACGAUAGCUAAUACCGCAUAGUGUGAGAUGGACCUGCGUUGUAUUAGGUAGUUGGUGAGGUAAAGGGGCACCAAGGCGACGAUACAUAGCCGGCCUGGGAGGGGGGACGGCGCGACUGGGACUGAGACACGGGCCAGACGCCUACGGGAGGCAGGAGUAGGGACAGUGCGGGAAUGGGCGGAAGUCUGGCAGGGCAACGCCGCGUGAGUGGAGAAGGUUUUCGGGUCGUAAAGCUCUUUUGUUAGAGAAGCGGUAACUAACGAGAAAGGGCCGGCUAACUACGUGCCAGCAGCCGCGGUAAUAC